rnacentral:lncRNA from 1 species
CAUAAGCUUCCUACACAUAUUUUUGUGCCGGUGCGAGGAGCUUGAUAUAGUCCCUCAAAAUUUUCUUAUCUAGAAAAAAAGUGAACCUGGAAUUCUAAAAUACCCCCCUUCAAAGUUGACCUGGCAGUUGAUUCGUUCAAGUCGUGGAUUUCCAACAUAGUGACAUUGAAUCGGGCCUCGCAUUCCAUAAGGACUCCCC